UCCAAAAUAUUCUGCCAGUUGUUCC
rnacentral:piRNA from 1 species